UUGGCUUUCAAUAGAUGCCUAU
rnacentral:siRNA from 1 species